UUGUUAAGUAUUUAAGGCAUGCUUGCUUCUUAACUGCUUUAAAUUAAUUUUAUUUACGGGGCAGAUCAUACAGUGUGUAUUUACAAGGCAACCAUAAACAAGGACUGUUUAUUUACACAUUGCCCGUAUUAGCAGUACCUACUUCGGAGGCAUUUUUCCGAGGUAGGACCUCUCCUGGUGAAAUACAGUCAGUGCAGUUAACUGAGGGACGUCGCUGCUUCUCCUAGCCGAAAUUCUAACCUUGUGAUAUCACAGAUGUUGGCGAGUCUAUUAACAGAUGAGCUUAUGAAGCCCAGUGAGAGAUAAAAACACCGAAUGAUUUAAAAAAAAAGGAAGAAAAAAAAAACAAUAAACAAAAGCAAAACAACAACCAAGAAACACAGACUAUGGACGUUCUGCAGCUUCCGGAUUCGAGUUGCAUUGCGCUUAGAGUGGGAAGGGGGAGGGGGAUCCUGGCCGAAGGCCUAAGAGGCAAAGGGGGGAAAAACAUCAAAUUGUUUAAAAUAAAUAAAAAAGAUAAUAGUCAUAAAACUGUAUCGUGCUUGGUAAGGUGCAUAAUCUUUCUUGUCCAAUGAGUGAAUUGUUCAACUUUUGAUAUGAUGUUAGGUUUCCAAUCAUUCACACUCAUGGGGCUGGGAUAAUGUGUUGCAAACUAGAUAGAACAACAUUAUACAGGUAGCAACCUUAGCGAGAUGGCUAGUUAGAAUGGAGUCACUGGCACCAUGACAGCUGAACACACACUGAUGGUUAGCGAGCUGGCUCCAGCAAUGGAAUCUCAGCACCACAACCACCGCUGUGAUCCCCGACACCCACAGCGGUAGCACCCACUGCUGGGUCACGAAAGGGCUGCCUGCUGCCAUGCCAGAACAGACACGCUGACUUCUCAGCUUCUGAACAACAAAACGAACAUCAAACGGGAAGCUAUUCAAAAAGCGUUUUAAUGAAAGUGUGUCAAAAGCGAACCUGUGCUCAGCAAGUUACUUUGUGUUACUUUAGUUGCGUUUUGUCUGUCGGUUGCUCCAUGUAGCUGCUGCAUUACAUCUGCAGAAACAUCGCACCGAUUUGCAAAAUGAUUUUGCUGAAGACAUGGACAAAACAGAAUAAGGAAAACCAAACUGCACGAACAUUGCUUCAGGUAGCAGUAAGGAACGUGCAUAUAGUAUUUCCUACUGUGGACAUAGCCUUUCACAUAACCAUGACGUGUCAGUAAUCAACGCUUCUGGAGAACACUCUUUGUCCAAAAGCACAAUGGUUAAGAAAAUCAUACAAUCCUUAAUGAGACAAGAUGGACAAAGUCACCAAAUGCUGAUGUCCCUGGAAAGUGACAUUUUGGGCCUUGGAUUUUAGUAACCUCGUCGACGACGUUUCUUCCCGGAACAACAGCUUUCUAAAGACAAACGGGCUGCUGGGGCGUUCUGCUGUCACGCACUGUUGCCCCCAAAGACUCGCGCCCGAAAGGAAUCGCAGGAAAUUCCUCUCUCUCCUGGGCCUGUCGGAAGAGUCAUCAGCUGUGCUGACUCAGGGACCAGGGAGAGAAGACACAGGACCAGCUGCAUCAGUACUGCACCCAGCAGAGGAAGCAGUUUUGUAGCAGAGUUUGAGAAAGGAAUGCAGGGUUCCCAUGAAUCAGCGCACGCCUAUUAGCUUACCUGCUUCACAUUCAGAGGCCAUCAGCAGCCGGAAGACGCCAGGAGGGAAAAAGGAACUAAACCAUGAGGAAGUCCUGCUGGGAAUCAUUACAGCAGUUGGUACAUAUUGAGGAAGUCGGAGCCAUACACACAGACUGUCUGUUCCCAGGAGCAGACAGCUGUGACAGGGUGUGCUCCCUCUGCGACGCUGCAGACUCGGGCGCUGAUGUCCCAGUCCGCCACGCCGCUCACGUAAGCAAGCCACAGUGUGGCUGCUCCGGUUGGCCUCCUCUCCGCAAAGGACUCCACACAUUGCACCAAAAUGGAUUCCUGCCAUCAAACGAGAGUGGAUGAUGUUAGGUGGUCGCAACCUGCCAGGGAAAGACCGCGUAAAGAUGUUCAUGAUAUGAGGUGUCUGUUUGUUGAAUUUGACUUUAUUGAAUCAGUUAUGCACCCACACGCUUAUUUCUGCUGGGGUAAAAAAUGUGUCUCACUCAAAGUCUGCAGGGCCAGUCCUCACUCUGAAAAAAAAUAAAAAAUACGGCAGAGAGCUACUUGUGUUUGGUCUCCAGCUCAAAGCAAACCAGCAUCCCUGUGAUUGAAUGAUCUGCUCCGGUAUCAUGUGAAUGAAAACACUCUCUGUCUUUAAAGCAUUAUCUAAUCUCCAGAGGGUAGUUUGUCAAUGGGGGCACUUCACCUCCAGGAGAAGGAGGCGUUGAGCAGAGCCUACAGUGGGUAGAUGUUGGCGAUGUGGAUCAGUGGCUUAGGAGAUGGAAUAACUAGAAGAGAGCAAAUACAAAUCUUAGCUGGUUAGACGAUUUGUUACUUUCCUUUCUUGAGUAAGACAAUUGGCAUUGGGAAGUGUAUGACUGAGCAAAAUGGAUUCAAUGUAGACAGUGUGUUGCUGAUGGAUUGUGACUGGGCCAAUGUAUUGGAAGCUGAGCUGUAUAAAUAGUAUCCGUUAAAAAGGUAAAUGUUGCAUUUAGAGAGAGAAUAAAUUCUCUAUUCAUUUUAGCAUGCAUGCGUUUAGCAUAUGAAUCUACUAUAUUUUAGAACCUACAGUAUGAGAAUUAUCUUAGAGCAGACAUAAAGGUCCAUACUGUACUGUAAUAAAAAGAUCACUGGUUUGGUAAGCACAUGUGCAUUGACUUUUCAUACAAUCACACAGGCAUAUAUCUCUGAAAUUAGUUUUCUGUCUUUUGCAUCAGAAAUGGUGUUAUUAAUAGCCGGAAUAUAAUGAAGAAAAUGGAAGCUGUCUGCACUUUCUGUUGCUGUGUCUGCUCUCGGCUCUUCGUAUUCAGGGGACCGUAAUCUGGAGCUGGGAGAAAACCUUGUAGUUUCUGCAUUUAUAACAUCAUCAAAGAUCUGCC